UGAGCAAUCUGCCCUUCUCAUCGGAAUAAGCGUUGGAAACGACGUCUAAUGCCGAAUACGACCUCCUUUCGCAUGAUCGGAGGUGGAAAGCUCCGGCGGAGAAGGAUGAGCUCGCGGCCUAUCAGCUAGUUGGUGUGGGUAAUGGCCCACCAAGGCGACGACGGGUAGCCGGCCUGUGAGGGUGACCGGCCACACUGGGACUGAGACACGGCCCAGACUCCUACGGGAGCAG
rnacentral:rRNA from 1 species